rnacentral:rRNA from 1 species
GCUGUUCGCCCAUUAAAGCGGUACGCGAGCUGGGUUUAGAACGUCGUGAGACAGUUCGGUCCCUAUCCGCCGUGGGCGCAGGAGACUUGAGGAGGGUUGACCCUAGUACGAGAGGACCGGGUUGAACGGACCGCUAGUGUACCGGUUGUCACGCCAGUGGCACUGCCGGGUAGCCAUGUCCGGUUCGGAUAAGCGCUGAAAGCAUCUAAGCGCGAAGCCGACUCCAAGAUGAGGUCUCCCACCGGGUUAACCGGGUAAGGGCCCUCGUAGACAACGAGGUCGAUAGGCCGCAGGUGUAAGGCAUGUGAGUGCUUGAGCUGAGCGGUACUAAUAGCCCGAGGGCUUGUCCG